ACGCUGAGGAGCGAAAGGGUGGAGAGCAAACAGGCUUAGAUACCCUGGUAGUCCACCCCGUAAACGUUGGGAACUAGUUGUGGGGUCCUUUCCACGGAUUCCGUGACGCAGCUAACGCAUUAAGUUCCCCGCCUGGGGAGUACGGCCGCAAGGCUAAAACUCAAAGGAAUUGACGGGGACCCGCACAAGCGGCGGAGCAUGCGGAUUAAUUCGAUGCAACGCGAAGAACCUUACCAAGGCUUGACAUACACGAGAACGGGCCAGAAAUGGUCAACUCUUUGGACACUCGUGAACAGGUGGUGCAUGGUUGUCGUCAGCUCGCGUCGUGAGAUGUUGGGUUAAGUCCCGCAACGAGCGCAACCCUCGUUCUAUGUUGCCAGCACGUAAUGGUGGGAACUCAUGGGAUACUGCCGGGGUCAACUCGGAGGAAG
rnacentral:rRNA from 1 species